UCAGCAGCAGCACCACGUGCUUGAGGAGAAUGACCGAGUCAUAGAGCGCCAGGAAGAGGCAGUUGGAGAAAAAAACUGGCAGAAUCUGCAGUGUGAUCAGCAAGUCUACGCUGAGGAUGCCCAUCUUCUCUGCCUCCCGGCUUGAGAGCAGCAUGUACUACCAUUCACUGGCUCCUUCUGGUUGGAAAAGCAAGCCUCUGAGUUAUAAGGCUUCCUUUGGUCUACUUUUUGACUCUUAAGUUGAGAUUAAGAGAAUGAAGUUGGAUAACCUAAAAGCAAACCCGGAGAUUUCAAGGAUGGAAGCUACCCCUACUCUUUGUUGUCUGAAGACACCAAAGGGCAUUCAAGAAUCUAUGGAAUUCAUGCUGUGGAUUUUCAAGCAGUCUCAGUUUCAUAAAAUGUUAUUCCUUCUAACUCAAGUGAUUUGCUAAAGUAAAUUUUAAAUGGAGAUUAAAUUUUACUUUCAUAAAAAAAA